rnacentral:rRNA from 1 species
UGAACGCUGGCGGCGUGCCUAAUACAUGCAAGUAGAGCGAACAGACGAGGAGCUUGCUCCUCUGACGUUAGCGGCGGACGGGUGAGUAACACGUGGAUAACCUACCUAUAAGACUGGGAUAACUUCGGGAAACCGGAGCUAAUACCGGAUAAUAUAUUGAACCGCAUGGUUCAAUAGUGAAAGACGGUUUUGCUGUCACUUAUAGAUGGAUCCGCGCCGCAUUAGCUAGUUGGUAAGGUAACGGCUUACCAAGGCAACGAUGCGUAGCCGACCUGAGAGGGUGAUCGGCCACACUGGAACUGAGACACGGUCCAGACUCCUACGGGAGGCAGCAGUAGGGAAUCUUCCGCAAUGGGCGAAAGCUUGACGGAGCAACGCCGCGUGAGUGAUGAAGGUCUUCGGAUCGUAAAACUCUGUUAUUAGGGAAGAACAAAUGUGUAAGUAACUAUGCACGUCUUGACGGUACCUAAUCAGAAAGCCACGGCUAACUACGUG